rnacentral:misc_RNA from 1 species
GAAAUGUGAUAAGUAAUGUGAAUUGCAGAAUUCAGUGAAUCGUCGAAUCUUUGAACGCACCUUGCGCUCCUUGGUAUUCCAUGGGGCAUGCCUGUUCGAGCGUCAUUUGUACCCUCAAGCUCUGCUUGGUGUUGGGUGUUUGUCCCCGUCUCCGCGCGUGGACUCGCCCCAAAGUGAUUGGCAGCCGGCGUACUGGUCCCGGAGCGCAGCACAUGUCGCGCAAACGAGUGCCUUGGUACGGCGGCGUCCAUAAGCCCCUCUCUCACGCUCUUGACCUCGGAUCAGGUAGGGAUACCCGCUGAACUUAAGC